GAUGAACGCUAGCGACAGGCUUAACACAUGCAAGUCGAGGGGCAGCAGGGGAGUAGCAAUACUCCCGCUGGCGACCGGCGCACGGGUGAGUAACACGUAUGCAACCUGCCCUUGUCAGGGGGAUAGGCGGAAGAAAUUCCGUCUAAUACCGCAUAACGCUGCGGGGAGACAUCUCCCUGCAGCCAAAGAUUUAUCGGACAAGGAUGGGCAUGCGGCGCAUUAGCUUGUUGGCGGGGUAACGGCCCACCAAGGCGACGAUGCGUAGGGGUUCUGAGAGGAAGGUCCCCCACACUGGUACUGAGACACGGACCAGACUCCUACGGGAGGCAGCAGUGAGGAAUAUUGGUCAAUGGCCGGGAGGCUGAACCAGCCAAGUCGCGUGAGGGAAGACGGUCCUAUGGAUUGUAAACCUCUUUUGUCAGGGAGCAAAAACUGCCACGCGUGGCAGGAUGAGAGUACCUGAAGAAAAAGCAUCGGCUAACUCCGUGCCAGCAGCCGCGGUAAUACGGAGGAUGCGAGCGUUAUCCGGAUUUAUUGGGUUUAAAGGGUGCGUAGGCGGACAGUUAAGUCAGCGGUAAAAUUGAGAGGCUCAACCUCUUCCCGCCGUUGAAACUGAUUGUCUUGAGUGGGCGAGAAGUAUGCGGAAUGCGUGGUGUAGCGGUGAAAUGCAUAGAUAUCACGCAGAACUCCGAUUGCGAAGGCAGCAUACCGGCGCCCAACUGACGCUGAAGCACGAAAGCGUGGGUAUCGAACAGGAUUAGAUACCCUGGUAGUCCACGCAGUAAACGAUGAAUACUAAUUGUUCGGGUCGAGUGAGAUCUGAGUGAUACAGCGAAAGCGUUAAGUAUUCCACCUGGGGAGUACGCCGGCAACGGUGAAACUCAAAGGAAUUGACGGGGGCCCGCACAAGCGGAGGAACAUGUGGUUUAAUUCGAUGAUACGCGAGGAACCUUACCCGGGCUCAAACGACACAGGAAUGAUCUGAGAAAUCAGGCAGUCCUUCGGGACCUGUGUCGAGGUGCUGCAUGGUUGUCGUCAGCUCGUGCCGUGAGGUGUCGGCUUAAGUGCCAUAACGAGCGCAACCCCCAUCGACAGUUGCCAGCAGGUCAAGCUGGGCACUCUGUCGAGACUGCCGGCGCAAGCUGUGAGGAAGGCGGGGAUGACGUCAAAUCAGCACGGCCCUUACGUCCGGGGCGACACACGUGUUACAAUGGCAGGUACAGCGGGAAGCCACCUGGCGACAGGGAGCGGAACCCGAAAGCCUGUCUCAGUUCGGAUUGGAGUCUGCAACUCGACUCCAUGAAGCUGGAUUCGCUAGUAAUCGCGCAUCAGCCACGGCGCGGUGAAUACGUUCCCGGGCCU
rnacentral:rRNA from 1 species